rnacentral:rRNA from 1 species
UACGAAGGGGCUAGCGUUGCUCGGAAUCACUGGGCGUAAAGGGUGCGUAGGCGGGUCUUUAAGUCAGGGUGAAAUCCUGGAGCUCAACUCCAGAACUGCCUUUGAUACUGAGGAUCUUGAGUACGGGAGAGGUGAGUGGAACUGCGAGUGUAGAGGUGAAAUUCGUAGAUAUUCGCAAGAACACCAGUGGCGAAGGCGGCUCACUGGCCCGUAACUGACGCUGAGGCACGAAAGCGUGGGGAGCGAACAGG